GAGUCUGUAGCUCAGUUUGAUAGAGCAACGGCCUUCUAAGCCGUGGGUCGGGGGUUCGAAUCCCUUCAGGCUAG
rnacentral:tRNA from 1 species